rnacentral:rRNA from 1 species
ACACGUGGUAUCCUGUCUGAAUAUGGGGGGACCAUCCUCCAAGGCUAAAUACUCCUGACUGACCGAUAGUGAACCAGUACCGUGAGGGAAAGGCGAAAAGAACCCCGGCGAGGGGAGUGAAAAAGAACCUGAAACCGUGUACGUACAAGCAGUGGGAGCACGCUUAGGCGUGUGACUGCGUACCUUUUGUAUAAUGGGUCAGCGACUUAUAUUCUGUAGCAAGGUUAACCGAAUAGGGGAGCCGAAGGGAAACCGAGUCUUAACUGGGCGUUAAGUUGCAGGGUAUAGACCCGAAACCCGGUGAUCUAGCCAUGGGCAGGUUGAAGGUUGGGUAACACUAACUGGAGGACCGAACCGACUAAUGUUGAAAAAUUAGCGGAUGACUUGUGGCUGGGGGUGAAAGGCCAAUCAAACCGGGAGAUAGCUGGUUCUCCCCGAAAGCUAUUUAGGUAGCGCCUCGUGAAUUCAUCUCCGGGGGUAGAGCACUGUUUCGGCAAGGGGGUCAUCCCGACUUACCAACCCGAUGCAAACUGCGAAUACCGGAGAAUGUUAUCACGGGAGACACACGGCGGGUGCUAACGUCCGUCGUGAAGAGGGAAACAACCCAGACCGCCAGCUAAGGUCCCAAAGUCAUGGUUAAGUGGGAAACGAUGUGGGAAGGCCCAGACAGCCAGGAUGUUGGCUUAGAAGCAGCCAUCAUUUAAAGAAAGCGUAAUAGCUCACUGGUCGAGUCGGCCUGCGCGGAAGAUGUAACGGGGCUAAACCAUGCACCGAAGCUGCGGCAGCGACGCUGAUGCGUUGUUGGGUAGGGGAGCGUUCUGUAAGCCUGCGAAGGUGUGCUGUGAGGCAUGCUGGAGGUAUCAGAAGUGCGAAUGCUGACAUAAGUAACGAUAAAGCGGGUGAAAAGCCCGCUCGCCGGAAGACCAAGGGUUCCUGUCCAACGUUAAUCGGGGCAGGGUGAGUCGACCCCUAAGGCGAGGCCGAAAGGCGUAGUCGAUGGGAAACAGGUUAAUAUUCCUGUACUUGGUGUUACUGCGAAGGGGGGACGGAGAAGGCUAUGUUGGCCGGGCGACGGUUGUCCCGGUUUAAGCGUGUAGGCUGGUUUUCCAGGCAAAUCCGGAAAAUCAAGGCUGAGGCGUGAUGACGAGGCACUACGGUGCUGAAGCAACAAAUGCCCUGCUUCCAGGAAAAGCCUCUAAGCAUCAGGUAACAUCAAAUCGUACCCCAAACCGACACAGGUGGUCAGGUAGAGAAUACCAAGGCGCUUGAGAGAACUCGGGUGAAGGAACUAGGCAAAAUGGUGCCGUAACUUCGGGAGAAGGCACGCUGAUAUGUAGGUGAAGUCCCUCGCGGA